rnacentral:rRNA from 1 species
GAUGAACGCUGGCGGCGUGCCUAAUACAUGCAAGUCGAGCGAACGGACGAGAAGCUUGCUUCUCUGAUGUUAGCGGCGGACGGGUGAGUAACACGUGGAUAACCUACCUAUAAGACUGGGAUAACUUCGGGAAACCGGAGCUAAUACCGGAUGAUAUUUUGAACCGCAUGGUUCAAAAGUGAAAGACGGUCUUGCUGUCACUUAUAGAUGGAUCCGCGCUGCAUUAGCUAGUUGGUAAGGUAACGGCUUACCAAGGCAACGAUGCAUAGCCGACCUGAGAGGGUGAUCGGCCACACUGGAACUGAGACACGGUCCAGACUCCUACGGGAGGCAGCAGUAGGGAAUCUUCCACAAUGGGCGAAGGCCUGACGGAGCAACGCCGCGUGAGUGAUGAAGGUCUUCGGAUCGUAAAACUCUGUUAUUAGGGAAGAACAUAUGUGUAAGUAACUGUGCACAUCUUGACGGUACCUAAUCAGAAAGCCACGGCUAACUACGUG